AUGCCGAGAGGUAAAAAGGAGCACUUCAAUUAUACUCAUUCUAGACUACGCAAUGUCAUUGAGCGUUGUUUUGGUGUCUUGAAAAAUAAGUGGAGGAUUCUUUUCAAAGUACCAAGUUAUCCUCUAUGCAAGCAAACAAAAAUUAUUGUGGCAUGCAUGGCCUUGCACAAUUUUAUUCGUGAAAGUCAUUUGGCGGACAAGGAAUUCGAUAGGUGUGACAAUGAUGAGAGUUAUCAACCUCUCCUUGAGGAAACAAGGAGGAGGAGGCGUCGUAACACUAUGGGUGAAGCAAUGGAGCUAGAUUCAGUGGAUAUGAAUCGAGUGAGAGAUACGAUUGCUGAUGGUUUGUUCAACAGGCGUUGA
rnacentral:rRNA from 1 species